rnacentral:rRNA from 1 species
UACGUAGGGGGCAAGCGUUGUCCGGAUUUAUUGGGCGUAAAGCGCUCGCAGGUGGUUCGAUGCGUCGUGCGUGAAAGACCCCGGCUCGACUGGGGAGGGUCGUGCGAUACGAUCGAACUGGAGGCCAGUAGGGGGAUGCGGAAUUCCGGGUGUAGUGGUGGAAUGCGUAGAGAUCCGGAGGAACACCAGCGGCGAAGGCGACUACCUGGCCUGUUCUUGACGCUGAGGCGCGAAAGCUAGGGGAGCAAACGGG